CCGUCUAUAGUUCAGUUAGAAGAACGUUCGACUGUAAUUAUCGAAAGGUCGCUGGUGCAAGUCCAGCUAGACGGA
rnacentral:tRNA from 1 species